AGAUGUAGUUGGUGUAAA
rnacentral:miRNA from 1 species